rnacentral:lncRNA from 1 species
UAAAUAAUCAAGAAUUCAAAGCAUACGAUCAGCCUCUCAAGUCUUGCAUAUCGAUCAUGGUAAGGCAUGCUUAGCAGCGAGCUCACGGCCAUGUUGACUCGGUCGCGCGGGGUCAACUGAUCAGCAUUCUAAGUUCUUUUCUAUCGCUCUUAUCGUCAAUCAUUCGUUCUUUAUAUGCGGCUGUUGUGACUAUGCAGCUGUCAAAUUGACAAAACGAGCAUAAAAUUGUCUCAGCCGAGCUUGGCCUUUCUCAGUCGCCGCUUUUCAUUUCCUGCCAAUCGUCAGCAUUUAUCCAAGUAACAGAUCUUCGUUAUACUCGACAGGAUUGUGGGCAACAAGGGCACUGCAAGCUGCAGCACAGGCGGAAGCUGGUGCAUACUGCUCACUGAGUUCCCCUUCCCGAGCUGGUAAGCGCGAGUGAGGGAGGGAGGGAGGGAGGGAGGGAGGGAGGGAGGGAGGGAGGGAGGGAGGGAGGGAGGGAGGGAGGGAGGGAGGGAGGGAGGGAGGGAGGGAGGGAGGGAGGGAGGGAGGGAGGGAGGGAGGGAGGGAGGGAGGGAGGGAGAGAAUAAUUACACUUGGUAGUGGCGAAGCCACUGAUGACUAGGGCUGACAAGCCCUAGUGUUGGGUGAGCGAGUUCCACACGCUCACCCCUAGGCACGCCCGACACAGCAGGGGAUAAGGCCCCAGUCCUGGUCAAGACAAAAGAGACACGGAGACACAAGGCUCACGCCUUCUCCACCAAAAGAAAGCACUAGGGCGGAGCCUCAGAGGGGCAGACACAACUGCCUCCUUCACACCACACCACACGUACACACCAGACCAAAACACAUGCCAGGAAAACACCGCCCGCCAAGGCCAGAAACACACACAAGGCCGCCCCGCCACAAACAACACCCCUGGCCACAACAGAGGGAAAGCAAGGCGCUUAGGGGGGUUUCACAUGUGACAUGCGAAGCUAGCUUCGGGUCGAAACCAGGUCGAAACCAGGUCGAAACCACCCCCGAAACCAGGUCGAAACCACCCCCGAAGCCAGCUCGCGAAUCCGGGUCCGCAGCCCGGAUUCGCCCAACACACAUACUUAGUUUCGAGACGUCUGAAAUUUUCUAUACUAUUUUCUUACUCCAAUCAUGUGAUAUCAACCACUUGGACGCCGAAACCCUCGCGGCGACGAGCAUUGCUGUGUGCCGUGGAGCAGAGUGCGCUUAUAGUUGCGACAGCCUCCAUCAAAAUGGUUAUGAUCUUCAUACUAUUAUAUUGUAGGUGGGAGCGGGGCUAAAGCAUCCUCCAUGAGCGCGCACGCCUCGCAUGUUUCGACAUGUUGGGCUUUCCUAGCUCCUGCACGAGGAUUACACCGUGGUCGCAGCAACUAUGCAACAAAAACGCUUCAAAGCACUAUAUGUGCCAUACAGAAUGUUCGGGGGCGGUGUAUGGAGCGAGGUGGACUCGGCAUGUCGCGGUUGCGGGCGAGUCACGCAUCGGGAACUCACUAUGCGUGUAAAAUAAGAGUAUGGGAGCGCUGGGAUUGUAUGCGGAGACAUAAUUCGGCCCUUCCAGAGCUGGAUUGGCGCCCAACCAAGGUGGAUUCGAGGCAGCCGCAUGUGAAUCGGAUUCGCCCCUGGCUUCGCCGAAGCCAGGUGGAUUCACCGAAACCGGGUUGUCACAUGUGAAACCCCCCUUAACGCGCAUAAAGCAAGCUAACCAAGCCCCCUCAAAAGGACCAGCAGGGGCCGCUCUCUGGCGGAAACCACACCCUGCAUCGCUGGCCUUGGCGAAAGCCCCCCAACCACAAACAUAAAAAAUGAAACAGAAAGCCUGACCCUCUCUAGCCGACCUUCUUGUACCUGUGGAACCGUGCUUAGUCCUCGUCACUGUCCGUGAUGGUCUGAGCGGGUUGUCCCGCGUUCAUACCUGUGUGACAGCGCAACUGGCCGUUUACUACUCUCAGGAAGGGAUGCUGCGCACCCACUUGAUCCCAGCCCUUCCGCGGCACUCCCAGUGCUGUGAAUGUUUUUAAGCGACCCCACAAGUCGAUCACUGCCGUGUCAAUCGCUUGUUGGGUGUCCGUCUGUAUUUGAGCCUGUUGUUGCUGCUGCUGCUGCAGCUGCUGCUGCGGCUGCUGCUGCGGCUGCUGUUGCGGUAACUGGCCCUGCUGUAGAGGUUGUUGCGGCAGUGGUGCUGUGGCAGCGUUGGCUAGGCCACGGCGCCUUGCGGCGUACAGCGCGCACCGCCCCCUCUCCAUAGCCGCUAACGCCGCACUAGCCACUACAUCCCACACUGCUUGUUGCACGCCAGUCGGGGCCUCAAACAACCACACCUGCUCCCUGGUGGGCGGGGCCGCAAGCUGCGCUGCGAGCUGCUGCACAACCGCCUGAGCUACUGCGCACUGCCAAAACGCGUGUAGCCUGGGGCUGUGGGUUGGCGUCACACCGCAUCCACACGGCACCGGACCAUGCACCGGACCGGUGCAUGUGUGAGAUGCGUGUUACCGGCAAUGCCAAUGCCGUUGAUUGACACCCCCCAAGCUGUCUCCUUGUGGGCAUUCUCCCAGCAUAUCCGCCAGAGCCAGUCGAAGGGGGGAAUCCAGCGUUGUGGGGGGGCUGCUGGUGGUGUCUCGCGCGCCUCAGCUGCAUAUGCCGUGUGCAGUUGACUGCGGGCUACACCCACGUCUCCCAGUGCGUGACGAUAGCAACACGUACAGACAGUUUCUCCAGCGCCAGGGGUUGCUGCAUGCCAGGUAUCCUCCAGCCAAGGCAAGGCAUGAUCAGCCGAACCACUGCCGACUCCGAGGGCGGGGUGGGCCCAACCCAGCCUGGAGCCGUUCCUGCACUGCACGGGGACUGCACCAGACCAAAACACACGCCAGGAAAAACACCGCCCGCCAAGGCCAGAAACACACACAAGGCCACCCCGCCACAAAAGCCCACCAAACAACACCCCUGGCCACAACAGAGGGAAAGCAAGGCGCUUAGGGCGCAUAAAGCAAGCUAACCAAGCCCCCUCAAAAGGACCCGCAGGGGCCGCUCUAUGGCGGAAACCACACCCUGCAUCGCUGGCCCUGGCGAAGCCCCCCAGCCCCAACCACAAACAUAAAAAAUGAAACAGAAAGCCUGACCCUCUCUAGCCGACCUUCUUGUACCUGUGGAACCGUGCUUAGUCCUCGUCACUGUCCGUGAUGGUCUAAGCGGGUUGUUCCGCGUUCAUACCUGUGUGACAGCGCAACUGGCCGUUUACUACUCUCAUGAAGGGAUGCUGCGUGCCCACCUGAUCCCAGCCCUUCCGCGGCACUCCCAGUGCUGUGAAUGUUUUUUAAGCGAAACCAUAAGUCGAUCAAUGCCGUGUCAAUCGCUUGAUGGGUGUCCGUCUGUAUUUGAGCCUGUUGUUGCUGCUGCUGCUGCUGCGGCUGUUGCUGUGGCUGCUGCUGCGGUAGCUGGCCCUCUAGAGGUUGUUGCGGCAGUGGUGCUGUGGCAGCGUUGGCUAGGCCACGGCGCCUUGCGGCGUACAGCGCGCACCGCCCCCUCUCCAUAGCCGCUAACGCCGCCAUAGCCACUACAUCCCACACUGCUUGUUGCACGUCAGUCGGGGCCUCAAACAACCACACCUGCUCCCUGGUGGGCGGGGCCGCAAGCUGUGCUGCGAGCUGCUGCACAGGAGGGAGGGAGGGAACACAUGUUUUCUACUGCUUCCCCCUCGCUGCUUCCCCCUACCCCAACUUGCAUUCACCUCCCUGCACCCCAAUACAGAUGACCAUGGGUUUCAUGCCAUGGCUACAACGUGCAGCCACCAGCAGCGGGAGCAUGAGGUCCUGUCCAGCAUCUUCAUAGUGGUGCCAGGAAAGGUGAGCUCGGGGCCGGGUCGCUGGGAUUUGGAGCGGGGUAGGGAGCAUAGGGAAAUGAGGGGGGCAGCAAGAGAUAGUCCAAGUUUGCAACUUGUGGAUUGAGUACAUUCACUUAUCCAUGUGGAGGCAAUGUGGUAGGUAAAGUGGCGCCACAAGGCAGUGGCCGGCCAGCCAUGCAGUCCUUCAGAGCACUGCUUCCUUAUUCCCCUCGUAGCCUACAGCAUAGAGGUGCUGCUACCUACCAUGGUAUCCGCAGCUAAGCGAUUUCAUAGCUUAGGAAAAGGUACCUCCACAACUGUGGUUGCAGUGCUUGCAAGCUGGCCGAUAAGGCCACCAGCGGCAACAUUGGCAGCACCAGCUGCGGCCCUGGCUGUGGUAGCGGUGGUGGUGGAAAUAGCAUUCCUCCAAACCCGCACAAAUGCUAGUCAUGCAUGGCAACCACUGGGUUCUUACAUGCUGCUGCCCGUCGCUACGGCAGUGCCUACCAUGGCACUGCAGGCGACUAGCAGUCCCACCGUGCCCCGGGGAUGCCACUGAUAGCAGCAUUAGUGGCAUUUGCUUGGUUAGAUACAGGGGAGAUAUGGUUAGAUGUGCCAUCACGCCUUGGGGCCAGGGGUCAUAUCUUGUUUUGGGAAUAAUGUCUAGCUCCAGACAAAAACGGCCGGGUGGCCGCCGUCUUUUGUCUGGGCACAUGGCGGUUUGGGGGCUUCUCCAUAGGAAUUCGGACAAAACCCGCCCCAAACCUGGGCCAACAAAGUCUCACCCCAGACAUUAGCCCCCCGGAGGAAUGUCUAGGAAACGGUCAAAAUGGCCAAUUAAUGUCUGGAGACAUUAAGAUAGGCGCACUGCUUGGGGCAGCAGCGGGAUCGACAGCAGCAGCCUCAGCCCCAGCGCUAGGAGCAGCAACAGCAGCAGCAGCGGUGUUAGUUGCACCAAUGGGCGGAAGCAGCGCCAUCAGCAGCUUCUGCUGGGUGGCAGUCAGGCUCGGCCUUUCCUAUCACUGGUCAGUACCUCGCAAAGCCAACUCGGCUCUGGCAAGCUGGGACUUGCAGUGCUAGAUAAGCCUGCAGAGUCGGACACCGUGGCGGGCAGGCACACAUAUUGACGUGCGAUCAGGUUGGCGGGCCAGGGUUACCCAGGAUGCUUCCCUCUCCCCCCAAACACGUUUGUAAUAAUAGGCAAUACGGAUAUUUUCCAAUAUUAUACGCUCAAGUAUGUGACACAAUAUGCUGGUCCACACUGCUAGUACGUUGGCAAAAUACGCUGGGCCAAAACGGGGGUGGACGGGCCAAAAACUGGGGUGGAACCAUGGUGUGUUGGAAAAACCACAAAGCAAAGCCCGCCCAGACGGCGCCGACCAUGGUGUGUGGGUGUGAGUGUGGUGUGGGUGGGUGGGUUGUGUGUGUGUGUGUGUGUGUGUGUGUGUGUGUGUGUGUGUGUGUGUGUGUGUGUGUGUGUGUGUGUGUGUGUGUGUGUGUGUGUGUGUGUGUGUGUGUGUGUGUGUGUGUGUGUGUGUGUGACUACGGUUUCCACGGUUAUUCUGCCAGAUCACGUGAAUCGUGUAUCUGGUAUAACCAACGACAGGGCUCUCAAUCGAGGGCUGCCGUGACCUGGCGUUUCCCCGGCAGAGCGCAAACAGCUCUGCAGGAGUCCACAGUGUAACGCACUCCGACCCUGUGUGUGUGUGUGUGUGUGUGUGUGUGUGUGUGUGUGUGUGUGUGUGUGUGUGUGUGUGUGUGUGUGUGUGUGUGUGUGUGUGUGUGUGUGUGUGUGUGUGUGUGUGACUACGGUUUCCACGGUUAUUCUGCCAGAUCACGUGAAUCGUGUAUCUGGUAUAACCAACGACAGGGCUCUCAAUCGAGGGCUGCCGUGACCUGGCGUUUCCCCGGCAGAGCGCAAACAGCUCUGCUGGAGUCCACAGGGUAACGCACUCCGACCCUGUGUGUGUGUGUGUGUGUGUGUGUGUGUGUGUGUGUGUGUGUGUGUGUGUGUGUGUGUGUGUGUGUGUGUGUGUGUGUGUGUGUGUGUGUGUGUGUGUGUGUGUGUGUGUGUGUGACUACGGUUUCCACGGUUAUUCUGCCAGAUCACGUGAAUCGUGUAUCUGGUAUAACCAACGACAGGGCUCUCAAUCGAGGGCUGCCGUGACCUGGCGUUUCCCCGGCAGAGCGCAAACAGCUCUGGAGUCCACAGGGUAACGCACUCCGACCCUUCACCGCGCCAGUAACCCUUGCGGAAUUACUACCGGUGUAACAACCUCAGACCCAGCGGGCGAGCUACAUCUUAAGACCAGGCGGGCAGAAAACAAAAAAACAGCAAACAUAACAAAACACGCAGCACGCAGCACACGACAGCACGCGAUAGCACGACCACAGUGGCUGUGGGGCUGAGUCCUGCGACCCCGCAGCCUGCACGACCUCAACCGCAACCUAACCAGCUCUCGACGCCAGGGCAGACUAUGCCUAAGGGCAGCCACAAACGCGUCUGGCCACUAGGCCGGUCCAGGCCGUAAGGCCCGGGGUGUUGCAGCACCCAACACACCCUCUCAGGCAUAAAACCCCACAAACCUUGCCCUGCUCCCACGGGCGUAAAACAAAAAACCCUUCGCCUGCCCACUAAGCUCCCCCGCUGACCCUCUCGUAUGCCACUGCUUCAGUGGCUCAUGUUAGUGCUCACGCGCUUCUCCUAAGGGCUGAUCCCUUUCAAGCCUCCAGCUCCAUAGCUUGCGGCAUCGCGCACAGCAUUUCACCGUUUACCACCGCCAGGAUGGGGUGAGUGGCGUCAACACCAUCCCAGCCCUUGUGGGGCACGCCGAGCUGCGCGAACUGCAUCAGCCGCGACCAGAAGUCCGCGACGGCGCGAGCGCACGCAAGCUCGACGGGGUUGACGCCUGGCUGCGGCGGCGUCAGCUGUGUGGGCGGGAUCUCGUCAAGAUCGGGUUCCGCCUCCGCUGCACCUGCCACCGCAGCCUCGGGAGCUGCUGCCGCCGCCGUCUGAAUUCCCAGGGCCGCUGCGGCGCGCGUCAUCCCGCGCAGCCGCACCCGGCCAUGUUCUGUGGCGGCCAGCGCCGCCAUCACCACCACGUCCCAAACACACUGCUGAAAACCCGGCGGCGCCUGGACCAGCCACAGCUGGGCUUGGCUGAUGGGAGACGGACCGGGGUUGUGCGCGUUGAUCUGCGCCACCACGGCCUUCGCCACCGCGCAAUCCCAGAAGUGGUGCUGCCGUGGCGAGGGCGCGGCGGCGGCGUGUGCCUCCGCCGCGGCGCCCCCAUGGCCGUGCUGCCCACAGCCGCAUGGCCACGGCGAGCCAACGGCAUAUGCGAGUUUCCCGGCAGCGGCACUGCGUCGAUGGCCAACCGCCACAGCGUCUCAAAGUGCCGCCGUUCCCAGCGUACCUUCUGCCAAAGGCGCGCCAGGGUGUCCCUAAUGGCGCCAAGCGUUGCAGCCGCAGCUGCUGGCAGGUCCUCCCGCCGCACCACAGCGCGCGGCGGCAGGCCCUGUGCCGCGCGCUCGUAAUCCUCGUGUAGGUCCGCCCGCCGCGUGGCCACAUCGUCCAGCUGUAUGGAUGUGGCCAUGCGGACGGACAGCUUCGCUAGGGGGACUUUGAGGAUCUCAGAGCCAGAGAGCUUCCAGCCCAUGCGCGGCAUGAUGGUGGUGCGGACGACCUCACUGGUGGACGGCGCCGGGACAGGCGCUGGGCCAGGGCUCGCCAGCUGUGCGGCGUGAGCCUGCGCUGCACUCCACCAUGAUGGCGGGAUGUCACCGACAAGGCCCUGCAGCGCGGCGAGCGUGGGCCCACGGCGCCGGCGGUGUGUGUGUGUGUGUGUUUGUGUGUGUGUGUGUGUGUGUGUGUGUGUGUGUGUGUGUGUGUGUGUGUGUGUGUGUGUGUGUGUGUGUGUGUGUGUGUUACAAAACGAAACGAAAGCCCGCCCAAUGACGCGACGGAGUUACUUACCAAUACCUACCAAUUUACCAAGCUUUGCGUUGCGACCCAGGUAGUCAUACUUACCCGCGAUAAGCCUGGAACCCCAUGGGCGACCAUUCUGCCUGACCUCGUGAUGCACCUGUAUGCGUCCAUGCUCCGCACCCUGGGCACGCUAAACAACGUUUGCCCAGCACGCCGGAUUCCGUGAUACCGGCCCGCUGGGUGUAGUCAAGCUCACUUACAGGCAGUAGUGGAAGCAUGGGCAUAGGGCGGCAGCGAGGAAGUGCCAUAGGCAAGCAAAUGGCAAAGGUGACAAGUGGGGCGGCGUGCAGCAGACAAGCUAGGUAUCACGCGUGCUAAAGCCCGCCCACUAAGUAUAACAUAACCAAGAGAAGCGGGCGAGUUAGCGGUGGCGCGGCGACUAAACGGGGUUAGGGGACGUGGCGGGCGGCGGUUGCAGCGUCUCAAAACGUGUCAGACAUCGGCUGGUGGUGCGUGUGUGCAUGCUUCGCCAUGGGCUGGCGAGAGCUGGCCUCUCGCUCCCCACUCCAUGGCGGCACCGAAGCUAGGCAUGCUCACGGCCGCAGUGGCCGCGUCAGUGGUGGGGACAGGCGUGGGGGGCGGGACAGGCAGGAUGGCAGACUGUGGCGUUACAGCAGCGCGCGACGGCGACCACGGGAGUCCCGGCACGAGUCCCGGUCCAGGCGCAACGACCAGGCCCCGCGCUCGGAACAAUGCCCACCAUGUUCUCCUCCACGCUCCCGAGGACUUAAAACUUGAAGCUUUUUGUGUGAAUGCGGAUGUUACAGAGGGGACAGUCCCAGCACCCGAAGACGCCAAGCCAUCACAUGCUACCAGGGCCCAACUUGACUCCACCAACCCCGACUUUCCAUAGGAAAGAUUGAUUUUAUUCGCGAACUACAUCGCUGACUCAGCCACAGAGAGAAUGCGAAAGAUAGCCGAAGAAGAAGAGGUAGAGCACAUGCUGUGCGUCACAAGUUCGUUGGGUGCCGAGGUCGGUCAAAAGUUUGUUGGGUGCCGUGGUCAGUCGGUCGGACGUGCCGUGUGUGCCCCCAGUUUAUUUCCGGCUUUCCCAACACAGUUUCUUACGUAUUGCCUACACGCAUUAUGAAUCAGUGUGCAAUACGUGUACUGGGACAUUGUUCAAUAAGAUGAUGCUUGCGGGGCACGCCCAUGGAUCGCUUGGCGGUCCGCUAGUGGCAGCUGGAUAACCGGAAGGGCUGCCUUGCUCACGCCAUGUACAGACAAGGGAAAAGUGGGCUGCGCCCAUGCCAUGUCUCUAGUCUGAGGCCGCGAGCGUCUACCUCAUAUCCGGACAUAGCCGGGGUUGGUUUGUACAGGCAUGGCCCGCCAUGCAUCCAACCACAUCUCGCUGUCAAGCACAAGCGCAGCCAGCAAAGGACAACCAAUAAGCAGGAAAUGCUCUGGCCACAACACUCCUCACUGCUGCGGCCUACCACAUGCUGUGCGGUGCUAUGCUCGCCAGCAAAGACCCUAACCAGACACCGACCGGCCUUGCCGGUGCCGCUUCUUGGGCGGCGCCGUGCUUGCCGCUUCUUGGGCGGCGCCGUGCUCUCCUCCUCCACACGGCCUUGCUUGCCCCCUCCGCUUCACACCUGCACGCUCUCCCUCUGAAGGGAAAACUGGGCUGCGCCCAUGUCACGUUGGUGCUUCAAGGCUUCAAACAUGCCAGGACUCCAAAUCGCUGCACUUGGGGGGCUCAGCCCAAAUCAUGCAUCCUGAACCAGGGGGUGGGGGGGGGGGUGUAGAUACCAGCCCAAACUAAACCGACCCCAAUGUAAAAGAGCCAGGAGGAGGAGGAGGUAGAAUCAUUCGAAACAGACUCCCUGCUUCAAACAGAUAGAGGUUCAUGAGGAAAUCACGAAACCGCUUGCACAACCGAACAUGGGUUUCAGGGGUGCAAAGUUAUGGCCUCUCAAAAUUGGCGGUAAGUCAGUCAGUUUGGGUUACCAGGAGAUUUUGCACUGGUUCGCGCUAGGUUUUGUUCAUAGCGCUUCUGUCCUGCAGCGCGUGGCGCAAUGGGUGCAGCACAAUGAUGCGUGCAUACCGCAUACCUUGGAUUCAGAUCAUGUGCAUAAUUUGGGGAGCGGCAUAUAGGCAUGUCGGGAGACGCCUGGGGAGCUGGCCAGGGACAUGCCGGUGCCAGCCGGGAGUUGCAGGGGUGAACGUGAAAAAUGGGCUGAGCCCCUUAUAGAGCAAGAGAUGUGACAAUGGGUACCGGCGACAUGAACAGCACCCUUGCAAGCCCAGCGGGAAGGGCAUAGGGGUAUGCCAACGCCGUGUCAAGGCACCGCCACGUCCUGUCUACGCCACUCCACACAUGAGUCCGUGGUACCUCAUUCCAAAUCCCUUACAAGCACCACAAACAGCUAACCGGGCUUGGGCGCGGGACCCAGGGCCGCGAAACAUUUAAGGCGGGCUUGGCACGCAUGGUUCGGCUGUUGCACAAAAUUUCGACAUUCUUGCCCCAAGACGCUUGUCGUCGACAUGUUUUGAUACAUGGAUGUAAGAAAUUUAGGGCCCGAGAGCUAAGGGGUUCUGAGGGGGGUUUGCAGGGGGCACAGACGCAUGCACGGCAGCAGUUGCUUUGUUCCUCAUGGCACACACAGUUGUGUGGCCAUUCACUGUGCCUGCCCCUUCCCCUCUGUCCCAUCGCAUUUUCUGUGCCUGCCCCUAACAGGCCUGGCGUCCCAAGCCCAUGCAAACCGACUCCAACAGCUUUCCUGCACAGAUAUCUAAUGCGGAUUGUGUUUAUUCCUGUCCCCAUUGCAACUGCUUUCACGACCAUGGUGGUCCGCACCCAUUGCACAGAGCGGAAGUGUGUGCGAGUGAUCUUCGUUAAUGACUUUCUUGUCGUGACCUGGCGUGUGACCGUGCAUAUCGUGUGACUGAGUGAUUUGGGUGUGGUUUUGGCGUGUGGGAAGAGGGGAACGUGCCCGAGGUUGGUUGGCCCGACACGGUGUACUGCAUGGGAGGCCAGAGUACGGGUGAUCAGAGAGAGGAUAUAGGUCGCGUCUGAGAGCGGCUAGAGCCGUCAGGCACACGAAACGUUCAUUGUCCUAUCAUAGGGCGCGACAUUCUCAAG